rnacentral:tRNA from 1 species
GUAAAAAUAGUAUAAACUUUUUUAAUUAUUUAUAUUUGAAAAAUAUAAGAUAGCUCUUUUUGUUUUUUUACA